rnacentral:rRNA from 1 species
UUAAGCGACUAAGCGUACACGGUGGAUGCCCUGGCAGUCAGAGGCGAUGAAGGACGUGCUAAUCUGCGAUAAGCGUCGGUAAGGUGAUAUGAACCGUUAUAACCGGCGAUUUCCGAAUGGGGAAACCCAGUGUGAUUCGUCACACUAUCAUUAACUGAAUCCAUAGGUUAAUGAGGCGAACCGGGGGAACUGAAACAUCUAAGUACCCCGAGGAAAAGAAAUCAACCGAGAUUCCCCCAGUAGCGGCGAGCGAACGGGGAGCAGCCCAGAGCCUGAAUCAGUGUGUGUGUUAGUGGAAGCGUCUGGAAAGGCGUGCGAUACAGGGUGACAGCCCCGUACACAAAAAUGCACAUGCUGUGAGCUCGAUGAGUAGGGCGGGACACGUGGUAUCCUGUCUGAAUAUGGGGGGACCAUCCUCCAAGGCUAAAUACUCCUGACUGACCGAUAGUGAACCAGUACCGUGAGGGAAAGGCGAAAAGAACCCCGGCGAGGGGAGUGAAAAAGAACCUGAAACCGUGUACGUACAAGCAGUGGGAGCACGCUUAGGCGUGUGACUGCGUACCUUUUGUAUAAUGGGUCAGCGACUUAUAUUCUGUAGCAAGGUUAACCGAAUAGGGGAGCCGAAGGGAAACCGAGUCUUAACUGGGCGUUAAGUUGCAGGGUAUAGACCCGAAACCCGGUGAUCUAGCCAUGGGCAGGUUGAAGGUUGGGUAACACUAACUGGAGGACCGAACCGACUAAUGUUGAAAAAUUAGCGGAUGACUUGUGGCUGGGGGUGAAAGGCCAAUCAAACCGGGAGAUAGCUGGUUCUCCCCGAAAGCUAUUUAGGUAGCGCCUCGUGAAUUCAUCUCCGGGGGUAGAGCACUGUUUCGGCAAGGGGGUCAUCCCGACUUACCAACCCGAUGCAAACUGCGAAUACCGGAGAAUGUUAUCACGGGAGACACACGGCGGGUGCUAACGUCCGUCGUGAAGAGGGAAACAACCCAGACCGCCAGCUAAGGUCCCAAAGUCAUGGUUAAGUGGGAAACGAUGUGGGAAGGCCCAGACAGCCAGGAUGUUGGCUUAGAAGCAGCCAUCAUUUAAAGAAAGCGUAAUAGCUCACUGGUCGAGUCGGCCUGCGCGGAAGAUGUAACGGGGCUAAACCAUGCACCGAAGCUGCGGCAGCGACACUGUGUGUUGUUGGGUAGGGGAGCGUUCUGUAAGCCUGCGAAGGUGUGCUGUGAGGCAUGCUGGAGGUAUCAGAAGUGCGAAUGCUGACAUAAGUAACGAUAAAGCGGGUGAAAAGCCCGCUCGCCGGAAGACCAAGGGUUCCUGUCCAACGUUAAUCGGGGCAGGGUGAGUCGACCCCUAAGGCGAGGCCGAAAGGCGUAGUCGAUGGGAAACAGGUUAAUAUUCCUGUACUUGGUGUUACUGCGAAGGGGGGACGGAGAAGGCUAUGUUGGCCGGGCGACGGUUGUCCCGGUUUAAGCGUGUAGGCUGGUUUUCCAGGCAAAUCCGGAAAAUCAAGGCUGAGGCGUGAUGACGAGGCACUACGGUGCUGAAGCAACAAAUGCCCUGCUUCCAGGAAAAGCCUCUAAGCAUCAGGUAACAUCAAAUCGUACCCCAAACCGACACAGGUGGUCAGGUAGAGAAUACCAAGGCGCUUGAGAGAACUCGGGUGAAGGAACUAGGCAAAAUGGUGCCGUAACUUCGGGAGAAGGCACGCUGAUAUGUAGGUGAAGUCCCUCGCGGAUGGAGCUGAAAUCAGUCGAAGAUACCAGCUGGCUGCAACUGUUUAUUAAAAACACAGCACUGUGCAAACACGAAAGUGGACGUAUACGGUGUGACGCCUGCCCGGUGCCGGAAGGUUAAUUGAUGGGGUCAGCGCAAGCGAAGCUCUUGAUCGAAGCCCCGGUAAACGGCGGCCGUAACUAUAACGGUCCUAAGGUAGCGAAAUUCCUUGUCGGGUAAGUUCCGACCUGCACGAAUGGCGUAAUGAUGGCCAGGCUGUCUCCACCCGAGACUCAGUGAAAUUGAACUCGCUGUGAAGAUGCAGUGUACCCGCGGCAAGACGGAAAGACCCCGUGAACCUUUACUAUAGCUUGACACUGAACAUUGAGCCUUGAUGUGUAGGAUAGGUGGGAGGCUUUGAAGUGUGGACGCCAGUCUGCAUGGAGCCGGCCUUGAAAUACCACCCUUUAAUGUUUGAUGUUCUAACGUUGACCCGUGAUCCGGGUUGCGGACAGUGUCUGGUGGGUAGUUUGACUGGGGCGGUCUCCUCCUAAAGAGUAACGGAGGAGCACGAAGGUUGGCUAAUCCUGGUCGGACAUCAGGAGGUUAGUGCAAUGGCAUAAGCCAGCUUGACUGCGAGCGUGACGGCGCGAGCAGGUGCGAAAGCAGGUCAUAGUGAUCCGGUGGUUCUGAAUGGAAGGGCCAUCGCUCAACGGAUAAAAGGUACUCCGGGGAUAACAGGCUGAUACCGCCCAAGAGUUCAUAUCGACGGCGGUGUUUGGCACCUCGAUGUCGGCUCAUCACAUCCUGGGGCUGAAGUAGGUCCCAAGGGUAUGGCUGUUCGCCAUUUAAAGUGGUACGCGAGCUGGGUUUAGAACGUCGUGAGACAGUUCGGUCCCUAUCUGCCGUGGGCGCUGGAGAACUGAGGGGGGCUGCUCCUAGUACGAGAGGACCGGAGUGGACGCAUCACUGGUGUUCGGGUUGUCAUGCCAAUGGCACUGCCCGGUAGCUAAAUGCGGAAGAGAUAAGUGCUGAAAGCAUCUAAGCACGAAACUUGCCCCGAGAUGAGUUCUCCCUGACUCCUUGAGAGUCCUGAAGGAACGUUGAAGACGACGACGUUGAUAGGCCGGGUGUGUAAGCGCAGCGAUGCGUUGAGCUAACCGGUACUAAUGAACCGUGAGGCUUAACCUU